UGGGGAAUCUUGGACAAUGGGGGCAACCCUGAUCCAGCGAUGCCGCGUGGGUGAAGAAGGCCUUCGGGUUGUAAAGCCCUUUAGGUUGGGAAGAAGUGUAUUGGAGGAAAUGCCGAUACAUUGACGGUACCAACAGAAUAAGCACCGGCAAACUCUGUGCCAGCAGCCGCGGUAAUACAGAGGGUGCGAGCGUUAAUCGGAUUUACUGGGCGUAAAGGGCGCGUAGGCGGUGAGAUGUGUGUGAUGUGAAAGCCCCGGGCUUAACCUGGGAAGUGCAUCGCAAACUAUCUGACUGGAGUAUAAGAGAGGGUGGCGGAAUUUCCGGUGUAGCGGUGAAAUGCGUAGAGAUCGGAAGGAACGUCAAUGGCGAAGGCAGCCACCUGGCUUAAUACUGACGCUG
rnacentral:rRNA from 1 species